AAUGAACGCUAGCGGCGUGCUUAACACAUGCAAGUCGUACGAGAAACCCCGGCUUGCCGGGGGAGUAAAGUGGCGCACGGGUGAGUAACGCGUGGGUAAUCUACCCUCGAAUUGGGGAUAACACACCGAAAGGUGUGCUAAUACCGAAUAAGACCACGACCUCCACGGGGGUUGCGGUCAAAGAUGGCCUCUGCUUGCAAGCUGUCGUUUGAGGAUGAGCCCGCGUACCAUUAGCUUGUUGGUGGGGUAAUGGCCUACCAAGGCAACGAGGGUUAGCUGGUCUGAGAGGAUGGCCAGCCAACCUGGAACUGGAACACGGUCAGACUCCUACGGGAGGCAGCAGUGAGGAAUUUUGCGCAAUGGGGGAAACCCUGACGCAGCAACGCCGCGUGAGUGAAGAAGGCCUUCGGGUUGUAAAGCUCUGUCAAGUGGGAAGAACCUUUUUCGGCCGAAUACGCCGAGGAACUGACGGUACCGCUGAAGGAAGCACCGGCUAACUCCGUGCCAGCCGCCGCCGUAA
rnacentral:rRNA from 1 species